rnacentral:lncRNA from 1 species
CACACAUUGGUGUAAUUGGGUCAUGUGCCAAUCUGCAGUGGUGAAUUAAUAACUUUUUGGUUAAUCACCUCAAAUCUCCCAUAUCAGACACUGAUGGUGUUCAAAAGAAAAUCAAGGGACCUGCCUACAUGGUUCUGAUUUCUAGAUGCUUUCUGACAUCCCUACAUGAAGGACUGGAGAGUGAAAAGGGCAAGACAAUGACCUGAAAAAGUAAGCAAGACUGUCAGUGUUGAAAGGAGCCAUGUGGACUAUCUAGGACAAAUGCCUCAUGUCACAAAAGAGGGAACGAGGGCUUCUCCAGUCACACUGGGAGGCCGCAGGUGCUCUCUGGCUGCCUCUGACUCCUGGACCAUGCUUGUGAAAAUACCAGGACGGUAAAUUAGUGAAUUCCAAAGUCAGGAUUUUUGUUGGAUCUGGCACAGUCACAGGAAAGUCUGAGUUUUCUCAAGGGCAUCCCUGUCUCACCGAGGGGCACCAAGGACAGACGACCAGAAGCAAAUGGCGCAGUCACCGUCAGAGGAGAGUAAAACUCAUUCUGAAACGGUUCCAAAUGCCCAUGCCUGCUCUGUGGUUUUCAGCAAAGCGGACCUUUCCAAAAGACCUCCAACAGGGACUUCCUGGAUGUGAGAACACUAACCAAUUCUCGUUCCUCUCAUCUUUUGCUUUAUUCCUUCCUUCCAUGCUGUUAUUGCGAAAAACUGGUAGUUAAAUUCAAUUGAUUCAAAAUAUUCGGGAUCCAUAUGGCCGCCAACCCUGGAGCUGAAGCGGCGAUAGCGCCUCACUGCUGUUUUCAAGCAUUUGCCUCUCCUCCAGUCCCCAGAUGGUGGGAGUAACAUUUAAACCUCCUUUUCUCUGCCUUGUACAAUAGACCUUGGCACCAUUUCAACUGUUUACUCCGGUAAUUAACAGCUCUGAUACCACAACAAUUACAACUCCUACACUCUCACCACAAUAAUGCUAUGAAUUAGUGAGAGCUAAUGGCUGGAAGGUAGAGUGUUUCCAGACUGUGGGAUCUGUGCAUUUUUAGAAUAAAAUAAAAGGUACAAACAGCACGCUUGCAGUAGACAAUGAUUACCUAGUAAUUAGUUUACACAAAGCUUCCUAUUUAAUGGCAAAACGCUGUAAUUAACGUGUGACAGAAAAUCAAAGGGUACUUUGUAAGCAUAUUAAAAAUUAACACUGCAGGCCCAUAGCUUUAUGUACUGAUUAGAAGCAUAUUAAAUCAAUAGGACACACAAACCAACAGCUUGGGUAGCUGAUUAUUAUAGGUCCUCAGAAGGGGUACCCUGGCUUUCAUUUCACUUGGGGAGGCAAUUUUCCUUCUCCUGUCAUCUUCCUCAGGCACAGAGAAACACCUCAAACUCAACCCUGGCAGCUUCAUGAAAAUAACCACUGAACUGGAAGAAAACAUUCUAAGUCAUUCUCAGAGAUGAAGACAAAUAUGUAAAUGAUUAAGACUUUCCAAUGAUUGUGGUGACGUGCUGCUACACUAAUUAGAAAAUACACCAACUGGAACCAGAAAAUAAAGCCACUGGGUUGCAAUCUUCCGGUCAGAAUAAUCUCUACUUUGUCAAGCCUCUUUAUUCAACUCAUAGAAAGUUCAAAUAAAUGGAACUGUUUUAUAUUUCUAAAUGAUAAGAAAGCAGGCUGCUAUGAAGACUUAUUCUUUCCAAGGCACUGUCUGGGUAAAGCAUAGGCUGGGAACAACUGGAUCAACCAACAUUCUGUAUCUUCAACAGCCACAACCCCAUAUAAUGAUGGCUGAUGGACAUAGACAGCAAUAUCCUGGAAGCCUACCAGAGCCUAAAGAACCUUCUGAAUCACCAAAGAAAGAUUAAGUUGUAUGUACUUGUUCAAUGUUACCUGUAUUUUGUUAUAAUACAAUUUUAUGGUAAUAAUAACAACAAUAAUAAUAGGUAGCAUUUCUUAAAGUCUUAUUAUGUGCUAAGCACACUGCUAGCCAAUUCAUAGAAUUAUCUCAUUUACUUGUCACCACUUCCCCAUGAGACAGGUACUAAUCUCUCUUUACAGAUAGAGAAAGGGAGACUUGGAGAGCUGAAGUAAUUUGCCUAUAGUUAUCCCCCAGGGAGCAUGGGAGUCUAACCUAGGUGUCCCUGGCUAUGGAACCCCAGGAAGCCAAACUACCUCUUAGUUACCCUGAAUGACUAGCCUGUUCCAACACUCAUUCUGCUUAAAAGGCAGUUUACUAUGUCAACCUGGAAUAGGAGACUAAAAAAAUUAAAACAAAAACAAAAUAUUUGGUUGCUUAUUUUUUUAAAAAACAGGGUGUUUCUGCUUUUAGAGAUAGGAGUCUUGUUCUGUCACCCAGGCUGGAGAGUGGUGGUGCAGUCAUGACUCAUUGCAGCCUCAAACUCCUGGGCUCGAGUGAUCCUCUUUCUUCAGGCUCCUAAGUAGCUGGAACUACAGGCACACACCUAAUUUUUAAAUUUUUUGUAGAGAUAGGGUCUCACUAUAUUGCCCAGGCUGGUCUUGAACUCCUGGCCUCAAGCCAACUCCCACCUCAGCCUUCCAAAGUGUUGGGAUUACAAAAUAUUACAGGAGUGAUCGACUGCACUGGGCUAAAAACAAGGGUUUUAAAUGCUUACCAUAUUUUUAAUGCUACAUCUGAUUGUGAAGGUGGGCUACUCAAAGCUUUUUGGGAAUUUACAGGCUCACUAAAAUGAUCACGAUAGUGUAUUAAAUUGAGAAAGGCAUUGAAAAUCUGUCAUUCCCAUGAACAACCAAAGGGUGAUGUCUAAAAUUCUCUCUCAUCACCCAUGCACAUAACCAGGUAUAUGAGGCAGUUGGGUUGCAAGAGCUGAAUCCUAGAAACUCCUAGGCAGGGCUCCUCCUCUCCAGCUCUGAGGUGUGUGUAUUGAUGGCCCCCUACACCUCCCAGUUUGCUGCCUUGUGGGAAAAGGAGACCAGCUCUUCUGUUAUCUAGGAAAGGGAAGAAAUUUGAGAGCAGUGGCCUCUGUGUUCCAGGAAUAUUUGCGUUUCCCACAAAUCUCUGGAAAGCAGAAAGCUUGCCACAAGGGCAGCACACGGUAUGAGUCACAAAGGCAAGGACCUGAGGGAGAACACUUCCCAGGACUUUCAAAUAAGGUCUUUCCUAAAUGUACUUGGCUCAGUGUGGCAAAAGCACUGGGCUAGCAGCAGUCAGAUGUGGGUUCAAAGCAAGGCACAAUCAUUUAUUAGCUAUAAAUUUGGGCAAGUCACUUCUUGAGAAUAAGUUUCUUCAUCUGUAAACAGAAGUAAUACCUUCCUUAUAUCUUAAAUUGGUGUGGAAGUAAAUGAGUAAAAACCUCAGGGUUUUUCUGAGUUUAAAUGAGACAAUUCAUGUAACGUGCUUAGCACAAUACCUGGUACCCAGUAGGUACUCUGCAGUAUUUAUUGAUGAUGAUGAUGAUGAUGAUGAUGAUGAUGAUGAUGACAAAGAAAUACAAGGAAAUGUCAACACCUUAACAGUGCAUUCAUAGAUCUACAAAAUGCUUAAUCUCAGUGUUCUGGCAACCACUAAAUACAUAAAGAUAAUCUAAGACAUCAAGAUUUCAACAUAUAAAAAUAAAUAUAAAAACAAGUGAACAAUAAUCAUUUAUAUGUAGUUUCAUGACUGGAAAAAAUAAUAACCUAGAUUUUUUCUUAACCUAGAAAAUCUAGAUUAAAAAAUAAAGAUCUUGCAUUUUUGAUAUAAAACACAAAUAAUAAGGACAUGAAAAAAGAAUAUCCCUUGCUAGUAAUCAAAUAAUAGCAAUGAGAAGCUGGAUUCUUAUAUCUAAAAUAAAAGUGCAAAUAGUUCAUAAUAUCCAUUGGUGGUAAGGUUGUGGUAAAACUAGUAUUCUUAUUCUCUGCCAGUUGCUUUGGAAAUUGGUACUAUCUUUUUAGGAAUAUGGCAAUAUGUAACAAAAGCCAUAAAAUAUUCUACUCCUGGGUCUUUCUCCUCGGGAAGUAACUCAACAGAAGCAAAAAGAGGUGUAUACAAAAACCAAAUAUAAAAACAAACAAAUCUUUCCUCCCUCUUUCCUCCCACUGCCAAAAAAUGAAAGCUGGGAAUAGCCUAAAUUUCCAACUUAGUUGAAUUGUUCAAUAUAUUAGAGUUCAUCAAUAUGAGAGAAUAUUAUGCAUCUAAUAAUUGUGACGACUAUGUAUAAACAUGGAAAAUAUUUAAGAUCUGAUGUUUAACUAGCAUAUACACUAUUAUUGUAGCUAUGAGAAAGAAAUACUGCAUAUUUAGAAAUUAAUAUACAAAAAUGAAAACAACUAUGUUUGGGGACAGUGAUUAUGUACUUUUAAAUUUUUUUUAAUCUUGUUAUCUUUAAACUUUUCUAAAAAUGAUGUGAUUACAAGCAAUGGCUCUUUGGGAUCACCUAAUAAAUACCUACUAAAUUCUAGACGGGACAACGAGCUCUGCCAUCCUGCAAUGGCUCCUGUGACCUAGUUCCAGGGCCAUUCUGAAUGGACAGAGGUCUUCACAAUGGAGGUGGAGAUGCAGGGAGCUCUAUGGCAUGAAAUGGUUAAUGAUUCUCUUUUGUAAUUGUGUUUUCUGUUUGCUGCCUUAGUUCUAAAAGGAGGCAAAACAACUGUGGUUUAUUCUACCUUUUCCAGGCAUAGUUCUUCUCCUACCUUUGUGAUCCCCAAAUUAAUAUCAAAUGUCUAAUUAGUUUUUUUCUCCAUUGGUGAUCCCCAAAUUAAUAUCAAAUGUCAGACAAAGUAAAUCAAAGUACAAAUAAAGGUAAAACUGCUCUUGCAAAGGGCUAAAAUAGCAAUGUUUACUAGAAGCAUUCAAGAGCCAGUUCAAUUUCCUAUUUCUCAUUAAGUGGUAAAAUAGUAAUGCCAAGACCACAUCCCAGAAUCUCCAGGGUAACAGAGGCCCAACGAAGGGCUGCAGAGAAACUUGAAAGUAAACUGGCUUAGUUCUUUACACACAGAAAUUGUUCUACAAAGAUCUCUUGCAAAGCAGUGUCACCAGUAGCAUCACUGCCACUAAGCCAAUGUCCCAGGAAUUGAGGAAAGGAAGACACCCUUAAAGAAAAAAAUGGAAAAAAGCCACAAGGACUGGUACCACAGUAAAUGUCUGCCUGGGUCUCCCUAAACUGUCUUAGGUGAGCUUACCCAGGAAUGUUUCUCCCCUACAUGUUUGCCUUCCUUUGUUUAAGCCUUUAUUCCUCCUAAAUGAAAAUAAAUACCCCCGACUGGGGAACGUGGAG